UACCAGCACCCCGAGUGGUCGGGACGUUUUAUUGGGCCUAAAGCAUCCGUAGCCGGUUCUACAAGUCUUCCGUUAAAUCCACCUGCUUAACAGAUGGGCUGCGGAAGAUACUAUAAGACUAGGAGGCAGGAGAGGCAAGCGGUACUCAGUGGGUAGGGGUAAAAUCCGUUGAUCCAUUGAAGACCACCAGUGGCGAAGGCGGCUGACUGGUCCGGUUCUGACGCUGAGGCGCGAAAGCGUGGGGAGCAAACAGG
rnacentral:rRNA from 1 species